rnacentral:rRNA from 1 species
AGCUCCAAUAGCGUAUAUUAAAGUUGUUGCGGUUAAAAGCUCGUAGUUGGAUUUCUGUUGAGAACGGCCGGUCCGCAUUUUGUGCGUGUAUCUGGUUCGAACUCGGCAUCCUUUCAAAGAACGUUUCUGUGAUUCAGUUCAUGGGGCGGUACUUUGAAACUUUUACUUUGAGGAAAUUAGAGUGUUCACGGCAGGCAAUCGCCUUGAAUAUAUUAGCAUGGAAUAAUAAUAUAGGAUCUUGGGUCUAUUUUGUUGGUUUCUAGAGCUAAGAUAAUGAUUAAUAGGGACAAUUGGGGGCAUUCGUAUUAACACGUCAGAGGUGGAAUUCUUAGAUUGUGUUACGACGAACUACUGCGAAAGCAUUUGCCAAGGAUGUUUUCA